rnacentral:rRNA from 1 species
UACGGAGGGUGCGAGCGUUAAUCGGAAUUACUGGGCGUAAAGCGCGCGUAGGCGGCUUUGCAAGUCGGGUGUGAAAUCCCCAGGCUUAACCUGGGAACUGCAUUCGAGACUGCAUUGCUAGAGUAUGGGAGAGGGAAGUGGAAUUUCCGGUGUAGCGGUGAAAUGCGUAGAUAUCGGGAGGAACAUCAGUGGCGAAAGCGGCUUCCUGGACCAAUACUGACGCUCAUGUGCGAAAGCGUGGGGAGCAAACAGG